UAAUUGGUUUAACCCGCCAACUAUUAGGGAGAAGAAAAGCUCCCGUCAUUAGCCUUAAUUGAGUUUUUUUUUUUUUUUUAAGUCUCUGGCUUUAAUUAUCAUAGAAACCGCGAAGUCCAACACCAGCAUCUGUGUCACUUUAAUUGCCCUGUUUAUUUGUUGCGGAGGUGGCAAAGUUACCCAAUAUUUUCCCACAUCCUUUCCAAUUCAUAGGGGAGCCCCACGAGCAGGGCAGGCUCCAUUCCAGUGAAGAAGACUAGCGCAGCGUUUGGAAAGUUGAAGCUGAGCCGCCUUGCGCGACUCGCAGUCUCUACUGCCACGCGCGCCCCCGAGCGCCAGCUAGUUGAAGAAUUUGGACCAUCGCCUGAGGAACGAUUUGCCAUCGGAUUUGUCCUCAGCAAAUGUCUCACCAAACCAAAACCAAACCAAACAAACAAAGAAAACCUUUCAGGUUGCAACCACAAGGUCCAGAAGAAGCCCACAAGCCACUUGGAGGAUGGGGACAUGCCUUUUCUGAGAACUCCUUCUACAAGGAGGGCUGGGCUGACACUUCCACUGAGACCCACUGGAGAAGAUGACUGGAAACCAGGCUGGGGCACAGGA